CAUUUAUUUGUUGAGCCCUCUCAAGGCAACAACUAAAAUUACUUCUUUUUUUUUUUUUUUUUUAAAACGCUUUAAAACGUUUCCAAACUAAAGCAACGAGACCCACUUUAAAUACUUUAAUGGGUUAUAUUUUCCUUUAUAUUAAAAUUCAAACUUAAAGUGAUGAAAACUCAAUAGGCAAGCUCGGUCGUGAUGAUUUGUUUCCAUAUUUCAAUAUUUUCCUUAAUACUAACAUCCGAAAUUAAGGCAAGCUCCAUCAGAACACAUGAUGAGAAAUUCGUUUGCAUAUCGCGAAUUGGGGCUUGAUCGGACCAGGGUAUGGAUACACAGGAAGAAACUUCAAUGCUGUGCACGUAUUUGUCCUCAAGGCCAUCAAUUGAUGCUCGAUCGUGAUGAAUUGUUUCCAUACUUCAAUAUUUUCCUUAAUACUAACAUCCGAAAUUAAAGUAUUAACUCAAUACACAAGCUCCAUCAGGACACAUAAUUUAAAUUACUUAAUAUAUUCCUUAAUACCAAAAUCCAAAAUUAAAGUAUUAACUCAAUAGGCAAGCUCCAUCAGAACACAUGAUGAGAAAUACGUUAGAAUAUCGUGAAUUGGGGCUUGAUCGGACCAGGGUAUGGAUAUACAAAAAGAAACUUCAAUGCUGUGCACGUAUUUGUCCUUAAGGCCAUCAAUUGAUGCUCGGUCGUGAUGAAUUGUUUCCAUACUUCAAUAUUUUCCUUUAUACUAACUUCCGAAAUUAAGGCAAGCUCCAUCAGAACAAUUAACAACAGGGUAAUAUUGGGACCAGGGUAUGGAUACACAGGAAGAAACUUGAAUGCUGUGCACGUAUUUGUCCUCAAGGCCAUCAAUUGAUGCUCGGUCGUGAUGAAUUGUUUCCAUACUUCAAUAUUUUCCUUAAUACUAACAUCCGAAAUUAAAGUAUUAACUCAAUACACAAGCUCCAUCAGGACACAUAAUUUAAAUUUCUUUAUAUAUUCCUUAAUACCAAAAUCCAAAAUUAAAGUAUAAACUCAAUAGGCAA